UACGUAGGGCGCAAGCGUUGUCCGGAAUUAUUGGGCGUAAAGAGCUCGUAGGCGGCCUGUUACGUCUGCUGUGAAAUCCCGGGGCUUAACCCCGGGCGUGCAGUGGAUACGGGCAGGCUGGAGGCAGGCAGGGGAGAACGGAAUUCCUGGUGUAGCGGUGAAAUGCGCAGAUAUCAGGAGGAACACCAAUGGCGAAGGCAGCUCGCUGGGACGGUACUGACGCUGAGACGCGAAAGCGUGGGGAGCAAACAGG
rnacentral:rRNA from 1 species